GCAGAGAACCCCCCUCGUACCUUUUGCAUCAUGAUUCAGCCAGUAAAAUAUAUGCAAAGAGACCUCUAGUUUAUAACCCCGAAACCCGACGAGCUACUCCGAGACAGCCUAUACAGGGCCAACCCGUCUCUGUAGCAAAAGAGUGGGAAGAUCUCCGAGUAGUAGCAAAAGACCUACCGAGCCGGGUUAUAGCUGGUUGCCCAAUAAAUGAAUAAAAGUUCAGCCCCGUUAAGCCCUACUCACAACAGUCAUACACCAAAAGACGAAGAGCUACUAGACGGGAGUUAAUCAGAGGAGGUACAGCUCCCCUGAUUAAGGAUACAACCUUAAAAGAAGAUUAAGGAAUAUAGUUAAAUAAGGCCACAGGUCUCAGUGGGCCUAAAAGCAGCCAUCUGAUUCGAAAGCGUUAAAGCUCAGACCUUUACUAAGCCUAUUAUCUUAUCAAACCACUCCAAAAUCCCUUUAUACACUGGGCCUCUCUAUGUACCCAUAGAAGAGAUUAUGCUGAAAUGAGUAACAAGAAGAAUGAACUUCUCCCAGCACAAGUGUAAAUCGAAUUGGACCCACCACCGACAAUUAACGAACCCAAUAAAAGAGGGCCAUACACCACCGCCACCAAAAACCAAGAAAACCAUGUUAACCAAAUCGUUAUCCCCACACAGGAGUGCUCAACCAAGGAAAGACUAAAAGGAAGAAAAGGAACUCGGCAAACCCAAACCCCGCCUGUUUACCAAAAACAUCGCCUCUUGCCCAUACCAGUAUAAGAG
rnacentral:rRNA from 1 species